UACGGGGAGGCAGCAGUGGGGGAAUAUUGCACAAUGGGCGCAAGCCUGAUGCAGCCAUGCCGCGUGUAUGAAGAAGGCCUUCGGGUUGUAAAGUACUUUCAGCAGUGAGGAAGGUGGGAUAUGUUAAUAGCAUAUUCAUUUGACGUUAGCUGCAGAAGAAAGCACCGGCUAACUCCGUGCCAGCAGCCGCGGUAAUACGGAGGGUGCGAGCGUUAAUCGGAAUUACUGGGCGUAAAGCGCAUGCAGGUGGUUUGUUUAAGUCAGAUGUGAAAGCCCGGGGCUCAACCUCGGAAUUGCAUUUGAAACUGGCAAACUAGAGUACUGUAGAGGGGGGUAGGAAUUUCAGGUGUAGCGGUGAAAUAGCGUAGAGAUCUGAAGGAAUACCGGUGGCGAAGGCGGCCCCCUCGGACAGAUACUGACACUCAGAUGCGAAAGCGUGGGGAGCAAACAGGAUUAGAUACCCCUGGUAG
rnacentral:rRNA from 1 species